rnacentral:rRNA from 1 species
CCUACGGGAGGCAGCAGUGGGGAAUAUUGGACAAUGGAGGAAACUCUGAUCCAGCGACGCCGCGUGAAUGAUGAAGUACUUCGGUACGUAAAGCUCUAUCAACAGGGAAGAAAAUGACGGUACCUGAGUAAGAAGCCCCGGCUAACUACGUGCAAGCAGCCGCGGUAAUACGUAGGGGGCAAGCGUUAUCCGGAUUUACUGGGUGUAAAGGGAGCGUAGACGGUGCGCCAAGUCAGGAGUGAAAUGAUGCAGCUUAACUGCAGAACUGCUUUGGAAACUGGCGAACUAGAGUGCGGGAGGGGUGAGCGGAAUUCCUAGUGUAGCGGUGAAAUGCGUAGAUAUUAGGAGGAACACCGGUGGCGAAGGCGGCUUACUGGACCGUAACUGACGUUGAGGCUCGAAAGCGUGGGGAGCAAACAGGAUUAGAUACCCUGGUAGUC